GACGAACGCUGGCGGCGUGCUUAACACAUGCAAGUCGAACGCUGAAGCUCAGCUUUUGUUGGGUGGAUGAGUGGCGAACGGGUGAGUAACACGUGAGUAACCUGCCUCCUUCUUUGGGAUAACGCCCGGAAACGGGUGCUAAUACUGGAUAUUCACUGGUCUUCGCAUGGGGGUUGGUGGAAAGGGUUUUUCUGGUGGGGGAUGGGCUCGCGGCCUAUCAGCUUGUUGGUGGGGUGAUGGCCUACCAAGGCUUUGACGGGUAGCCGGCCUGAGAGGGUGACCGGUGACAUUGGGAGUGAGAUACGGCCGAGACUACUACGAGAGGCAGCAGUGGGGAUGAUUGCACAAUGGGCGCAAGCCUGAUGCAGCGACGCCGCGAGAGGGAUGGAGGCCUUCGGGUUGUGAACCUCUUUCGCUAAUGGUCAAGCCGCAACAAUGGUUGUGGUGAGGGUACUGGGUAAAGAAGCGACGGCUAACUACGUG
rnacentral:rRNA from 1 species